rnacentral:rRNA from 1 species
CCUACGGGAGGCAGCAGUGGGGAAUAUUGGGCAAUGGACGCAAGUCUGACCCAGCAACUCCGCGUGAAGGAAGAAGGCUUUCGGGUUGUAAACUUCUUUUAAGGGGGACGAGCAGAAGACGGUACCCCUUGAAUAAGCCACGGCUAACUACGUGCCAGCAGCCGCGGUACUACGGAGGUGGCAAGCGUUGUCCGGAUUUACUGGGUGUAAAGGGCGUGCUGCCGGAGAGACAAGUCAGAUGUGAAAUCGACGGGCUCAACCCGUGAACUGCAUUUGAAACUGUUUCCCGUGAGUUUCGGAGAGGUAAUCGGAAUUCCGAGUGUAGCGGUGAAAUGCGUAGAUAGUAGGAAGAACACCAGUGGCGAAGGCGGAUUACUGGACGAUAACUGACGGUGAGGCGCGAAAGCGUGGGGAGCAAACAGGAUUAGAUACCCUUGUAGUC